rnacentral:rRNA from 1 species
GUAGGUGGCAAGCGUUGUCCGGGAAUUAUUGGGGCGUAAAGCGCGCGCAGGCGGUUCUUUAAGUCUGAUGUGAAAGCCCACGGGCUCAACCGUGGAGGGUCAUUGGAAACUGGAGAACUUGAGUACAGAAGAGGAAAGCGGAAUUCCACGUGUAGCGGUGAAAUGCGUAGAGAUGUGGAGGAACACCAGUGGCGAAGGCGGCUUUCUGGUCUGUAACUGACGCUGAGGCGCGAAAGCGUGGGGAGCAAACAGGAUUAGAUACCCUGGUAGUCCACGCCGUAAACGAUGAGUGCUAAGUGUUAGGGGGUUUCCGCCCCUUAGUGCUGCAGCUAACGCAUUAAGCACUCCGCCUGGGGCGUACGGCCGCAAAGGCUG